rnacentral:rRNA from 1 species
AGAGUUUGAUCCUGGCUCAGGAUGAACGCUGGCGGCGUGCCUAACACAUGCAAGUCGAACGAAGCGCCUGCGGCGGACCCCUCCGGGGGAAAGCCGCGGGGGACUGAGUGGCGGACGGGUGAGCAACGCGUGGGCAACCUGCCCCGUACCGGGGGACAACAGCCGGAAACGGCUGCUAAUACCGCAUAUUCCCGCGGGGCCGCAUGGCCCUGCGGGGAAAGCUCCGGCAGUACGGGAUGGGCCCGCGUCUGAUUAGCUUGUUGGCGGGGUAACGGCCCACCAAGGCUGCGAUCAGUAGCCGGCCUGAGAGGGCGGCCGGCCACAUUGGGACUGAGACACGGCCCAGACUCCUGCGGGAGGCAGCAGUGGGGGAUAUUGCACAAUGGGGGGAACCCUGAUGCAGCGACGCCGCGUGAACGAAGAAAUAUUUCGGUAUGUAAAGUUCUAUCAGCAGGGAAGAAAAUGACAGUACCUGACCAAGAAGCCCCGGCUAACUACGUGCCAGCAGCCGCGGUAAUACGUAGGGGGCGAGCGUUAUCCGGAUUCACUGGGCGUAAAGGGAGCGCAGGCGGCACGGCAAGUCCGGUGUGAAAGCCCGGGGCCCAACCCCGGGACUGCACUGGAAACUGCCGGGCUGGAGUGUCGGAGGGGCAGGCGGAAUUCCUAGUGUAGCGGUGAAAUGCGUAGAUAUUAGGAGGAACACCGGUGGCGAAGGCGGCCUGCUGGACGACGACUGACGCUGAGGCUCGAAAGCGUGGGGAGCAACAGGGAUUAGAUACCCGGGUAGUCCACCCGGUAAACGAUGAUACCAAGGUGUCGGCGGGCACGGCCCGCCGGUGCCGCAGCAAACGCAGUAAGUAUUCCCGCCUGGGGAGUACGUUCGCAAGAAUGAAACUCAAAGGAAUUGGCGGGGACCCGCACAAGCGGUGGAGCAUGUGGUUUAAUUCGAAGCAACGCGAAGAACCUUACCAGGCCUUGGCAUCCUGAUGGCCGGGCAUGCAAUGUGCCCUCCCUUCGGGGCAUCAGUGACAGGUGGUGCAUGGUUGUCGUCAGCUCGUGUCGUGUGAUGUUGGGUUAAGUCCCGCAACGAGCGCAACCCCUGCCCGCAGUAGCCAGCACGUUGAGGUGGGCACUCUGCGGGGACUGCCGGGGACAACCCGGAGGAAGGCGGGGGCGACGUCAAAUCAUCAUGCCCCUUAUGGCCUGGGCGACACACGUGCUACAAUGGCGCCGACAGAGGGAUGCGAAGCGGCGACGCGGAGCGAACCCCAAAAACGGCGCCCCAGUUCGGAUUGUAGUCUGCAACCCGACUACAUGAAGCCGGAAUCGCUAGUAAUCGCGGAUCAGAACGCCGCGGUGAAUACGUUCCCGGGUCUUGCACACACGCCCGUCA